rfam:Methylobacillus flagellatus KT, complete genome.
AAAUGUUAAGGGCAACCUUGGUUGAAAAACCAAGGACGCAAAGUCACCGGUCUAAGGUAAGCAGCUUGCUACUAUGACAGCGGAACCGCCAUA